rnacentral:rRNA from 1 species
AUUGAACGCUGGCGGCAUGCCUUACACAUGCAAGUCGAACGGUAACAGGUCUUCGGAUGCUGACGAGUGGCGAACGGGUGAGUAAUACAUCGGAACGUGCCUAGUAGUGGGGGAUAACUACUCGAAAGAGUGGCUAAUACCGCAUGAGAUCUACGGAUGAAAGCAGGGGAUUGCAAGACCUUGUGCUACUAGAGCGGCCGAUGGCAGAUUAGGUAGUUGGUGGGAUAAAAGCUUACCAAGCCGACGAUCUGUAGCUGGUCUGAGAGGACGAUCAGCCACACUGGGACUGGGACACGGCCCAGACUCCUACGGGAGGCAGCAGUGGGGAAUUUUGGACAAUGGGCGCAAGCCUGAUCCAGCAAUGCCGCGUGCAGGAUGAAGGCCUUCGGGUUGUAAACUGCUUUUGUACGGAACGAAAAGCCCUGGGUUAAUACCCUGGGGUCAUGACGGUACCGUAAGAAUAAGCACCGGCUAACUACGUGCCAGCCGCCGCAGUAAAAC